GAUGAACGCUGGCGGCGUGCCUAAUACAUGCAAGUCGAGCGAACGGACGAGAAGCUUGCUUCUCUGAUGUUAGCGGCGGACGGGUGAGUAACACGUGGAUAACCUACCUAUAAGACUGGGAUAACUUCGGGAAACCGGAGCUAAUACCGGAUAAUAUUUUGAACCGCAUGGUUCAAAAGUGAAAGACGGUCUUGCUGUCACUUAUAGAUGGAUCCGCGCUGCAUUAGGUAGUUGGUAAGGUAACGGCUUACCAAGGCAACGAUGCAUAGCCGACCUGAGAGGGUGAUCGGCCACACUGGAACUGAGACACGGUCCAGACUCCUACGGGAGGCAGCAGUAGGGAAUCUUCCGCAAUGGGCGAAAGCCCGACGGAGCAACGCCGCGUGAGUGAUGAAGGUCUUCGGAUCGUAAAACUCUGUUAUUAGGGAAGAACAUAUGUGUAAGUAACUGUGCACAUCUUGACGGUACCUAAUCAGAAAGCCACGGCUAACUACGUG
rnacentral:rRNA from 1 species